CAUCUUCACCAGUUCAAAUCCUGCCUUGGACACUUUCUACAUGAGGAAGAUGAGGCCCAGAGACACGAAGUCCUCCAAGUUAUACAGGUAGCCAAUGGCAGAGCUGGAAUUUGAACCCGGGUCCACAUAUACCAUCAGCAGCUCAUUGACAACAAAAGUGCUUUCUCCAAAAGGAGGCAGGGAGUACAGGUAUGACAGACAACAGUGACAGAUGUUGCUGAUUUCACAUUGCAGAAGACCUGAAGGUAGGAGGGAUAGCUAGCACACCAUGUGACAGAGUCAGGACCCCCAAAAGAUCUGGACAGGCUGCAUUCACAGAAUUCUACAUCUACAAGAGCCCUCGGAAAGGUGAAGGAAGGCCAACAGUACAGACUUCCUGCUCAUGGGACAGAUAAAUGAACAUAACCACCCCAACCAGGCACCCAGGGGCUCUUCUCUAUCUUGGCCCCCAUUCACAAGUUCUAUUCUCCUUCUGAUCCCAAGGAAAUCCAGCCACCAGGAAAAGCAGCACCUUAACAAGAGUUUACUGCAUUUCUAAAGACUACUGGAUCUGAACACAGAGGACCCAGGUCCAAAUGCCAACUCUGCUGCUUACUAUCCAUAGGAUCUUGGCAGCUAGGAGACUCAGUGGAUAGAGUCCUGGACUUGGAGACAGGAAGAUCUGAGUUCAAAUCUGCCCUCAAACAUUUGCUGAACU